rnacentral:ncRNA from 1 species
AACACACACUAGGGGUGUGCAAACUGAGAUGAGGUCAUCACCUCAAACCCUUUGAACCUGAACUAGAUGAUACUAGCGUAGGGAAGUGUGAAGAUAGACUC